UACAGAGGGGGCAAGCGUUGUUCGGAAUUACUGGGCGUAAAGGGCGCGUAGGCGGCCAACUAAGUCAGACGUGAAAUCCCCAGGCUCAACCUGGGAACUGCGUCUGAUACUGGAUGGCUCGAGUUCGGGAGAGGGAAGUGGAAUUCCAGGUGUAGCGGUGAAAUGCGUAGAUAUCUGGAGGAACACCGGUGGCGAAGGCGGCAUCCUGGACCAUUACUGACGCUGAGGAGCGAAAGCCAGGGGAGCAAACGGG
rnacentral:rRNA from 1 species